rnacentral:siRNA from 1 species
GAGGACAUUGUCAGGUGGGGAG